rnacentral:lncRNA from 1 species
GAAAAAAACAUUGAAGACCACAUAACAUGUUGAUAAGAUGACACUGGAGUUAUGCACAUGUGAUGCGGAGUGUUUGUGUUUGUUUCUUUAAGUGUCUAAAAUGAAUAGCAAAGUUGUGAUUUGCAAUGAUUGCUUAGGGUCAGUCCAGUAACAAUACGCCAAUGAAGUGCUUUCCUUUAACAAUGCAAAGUGAAGUGUCCACCUCCACAGCCACAAUUUAAAAAAUUAAUGUUAUAAUAAUAAUAAUAAUAAUAAUAAUAAUAAUAAAUAGUCCACUGAUAUUAGCAAUCACAGAAAAUUAUAUCACCAUCCCAAAUAAAACUUUAAUAAAACAUGCCAGCAUUAUUGUCUAACAAUAAAACAGCUUGUCAGCGUUCAGUUUUUUUGCAACAGCACAACAGUAACCAUUUAACACUUGCCACGCUCAACGUUUAUUUUACCAGUGUUUGGGCAAAAAACUUGGGUUGUAAACAUUUUAACAUGGAAACAAUUGUUCGUCUUUAAAAGUCCGCAGAAUAUACAUUCAUCCUGCAUUCCUAACUUAUCCUUAUUCUUAGUAUGUAUUGCAAUUACCUUUACAAUGCACACAAUGUAACACAAACAGAAUAUGGACAUAUUUCCACCUCAUAACAAUAUGCCUUGAACGCUAAUAUACACACCACCCUUCAACAUUUCUGGUGCAGUAUCAUUAAGUGUGCCUAUGCCAAGAGGCACACUUAUUACUAUUCCUCGGAUUUAUUAUUCGUCGGAUUUAUUAUUAAGUGUGCCUAUGCCAAGAGGCACACUUAUUACUAUUCGUCGGAUUUAUUAUUAUGUGUGCCUAUGCCAAGAGGCACACAUAUUACUAUUCAUCGGAUUUAUUAUUAUGUGUGCCUAUGCCAAGAGGCACACAUAUUACUAUUCGUCGGAUUUAUUAUUAUUAUUAUUAUUAUUAUUAUUAUUAUUAUUAGGAUUUAUUAUUAUUAUUAUUAUUAUGUGUGCCUAUGACAAGAGGCACACAUAUUACUAUUCGUCGGAUUUAUUAUGUGUGCCUAUGCCAAGAGGCACACAUAUUACUAUUCGUCGGAUUUAUUAUUAUGUGUGCCUAUGCCAAGAGGCACACAUAUUACUAUUCGUCGGAUUUAUUAUUAUUAUUAUUAUUAUUAUUAUUAUUCUCCAGUUUCCGCCUGAAAUUUUGCUGGAGCUGGACUAUUAUGUCAUGACUUUUGGUGUUUAUGAAUUUUAUAGUUUUUUAAAUAUUAAUAUUUUAGUGAAAAUUUUCCCGCGCUCCUCUGCCGAACAGUUUUGACAUUAGGUUACAUAUGUUAGAUCAUUUUGUGCGGCUGGAGCUGGACUAUUAUGUAUGACUUUUGGUGUUUAUACUUUUAUAGUUUUUUAAAUAUUAAUAUUUUAGUGCAAAUUUAGGCCAAUUCAUCUUUUGGCGCCAAAUAAACAGACUUCAUUUGUGGUGUGUUGGCUCUCUCUAGUGGUAUGCCGGGAGUGGUACAGCCUGUGUACCCUUAUUUGGAUUACCGUAAUGAUGACAAUUUCAACGGUGCGCACAGCGUCGCUGCUUUCAGGAGCCCUUGGAAUUUUAAGGUUGCGCAAAUCAUUCAAAAGUUACGGUAAUGCUUGGUGGAAAACUCAAUAUCCCACAAUUCAUAGCACGCCUCUACAGAGUGAACAAUGGCGGCCACCACUUCGUUUAUAUGUCUUUUAUUCGUGUUUCUAGGUCACAAAAUAAGCUUUUAAGAUAUUUUCAGGCGAGAAUGUAGGUGUGUAAACUUCAAAUAUCUGCUUGUUUUAUCAAGACAUCCCAUAUUUAGCGACAGUGCUCUGACUACGUCGGUCCUGCCUGACAGCUAGCCGGCUACCUAGCUGGCUACCUAGCUAGCUGCCGCACUUGGCUGCAAAUGGAUAGCGAGGGGACUCUCUCUGUCGUUUCACCUCCCUGGUCUCUCGCAAAUGCUCGCAUAGAAUCGGAGUUACAGCUGAUGUGGAAAAAUAACUGAGUUGUUUGGUGGUGGAGCUACAACAGAGGGCAGCUACCCACCGGUGUGUGACAGAAAGGACAUGCGCCAACGAGACAUAUGAGGCCGGGCAGGCGAUUGCUAACGCGGUGGUCAAUCAUGGAUCAGGGAAAGCGAAGGCAGGAGCGUGAGGUGAACUGAAUUUCAGGUAAGAAGUUAUGAACUGCACUCUAUUUGGGUCAGAUAUAAACCGAGUUUAGGUGUAGUUUAUUUAGCAGCAGUUCUCUUAUGUGUUGCUGAUAGCCGGCUAGCUAGCUAGCGCCGCUAGCAUAGUUAGCUCGCGCCGCUAGCAACCCUUCGUGAAAAAGCACCCAGGCUUGGCUUAUAUUGAGGCGGUGAAACUCGUGUCAGCACCCGGUCGCUCUCUAUUUGGGUCAGAUAUAAACCGAGUUUAGGUGUAGUUUAUUAGCAGCAGUUCUCUUAUGUGUUGCUGAUAGCCGGCUAGCUAGCUAGCGCCGCUAGCAUAGUUAGCUCGCGCCGCUAAGCAACCCUUCGUGAAAAAGCACCCAGGCUUGGCUUAUAUUGAGGCGGGUGAAACUCGUGUCAGCACCCGGUCGCUCUCU